AUUCAGCCGACGAGUCCCAAAGAGGACGAAACUCGAGUCCUUGAU
rnacentral:hammerhead_ribozyme from 1 species